UGCGUAGGUGGUUUCUUAAGUCAGAGGUGAAAGGCUACGGCUCAACCGUAGUAAGCCUUUGAAACUGGGAAACUUGAGUGCAGGAGAGGAGAGUGGAAUUCCCGGUGUAACGGUGGAAUGUGUAGAUAUCGGGAAGAACACCAAUGGCGAAGGCAGGUCUCUGGGCCGUCACUGACGCUGAGGAGCGAAAGCGUGGGGAGCGAACA
rnacentral:rRNA from 1 species